UACUGGGGGGGGGGGGGGGGGGGUUGAAAAUUUAGUCCAACACUGAAGACUAAACACUGAAAUAAAAACAGUGCUGCAAAAGCUCUGACUAUCUGCUCUAAUUUAAUGAACAGUGAAUGAACUGAAGCUCAGCUAUUCUGUUCCUGCUCUGACAGGAAAUUCUUGGACUGUGAUUAAAAAAAGUUAUGAUUCCUACAGAGAAUGUCAACAUUAUGGACAUAAACACCCUCAAACAUACCCAAUUGUGACAGUCAGAACCUUAACCUGUGCAGCUAUUGAUAUCUUGAUAUCAAUUGUUCUUUAAAAAAAGGUGUCAUUCUGGAGUGUAACAUGUAUCAAAAUCGAACCUGGGAGAUAUCUGUAGAGAUAAAGGCGAAAGAUUUGCCUCAUUGAAAUAACCCUUAUUACUGCCAUAAAAAACAAUUAAGACAUAGACUGUGAACAUUUUUUUAAAAGACUCCAAAACCCAGGAUGUUAUCAAAGAUACCCCUUUGUUAGGACCAGAUGGUACAUCCCAGUCUCUCCUCCUCUCCCCCUCCUUCUCCUCCCUCCUGCCCUCAGUGUCCUCCAUCUCUCUGCGUUCUCUCAUUUUCUUAUAUUAAGGACAUUCUGACUUCCAGAGACUGUUGUGGCUCAUCCUUCAUCUGUUACUCUUGUAAUCUCUACAGAAGCUGUUGGAGAGUGAAGCAGCACAGAGCUGACCUUAUAUAAAGACUCCUUCAGACCAGACCAUACCUCUGUCCCUGAGUCCAUGGAAGCCAAGGCCAAGUCCGGGGCAACGGCGCCCAAGGCAGCAUCUAAAGUAGAGAAGAAGGAGCCGGCAGCCCCUCGCAAGCCUGACCCUGAACCUGCAGCCCCUGAGCCUGAGCUUCCUCCUCCCCAGGAUGGAGCACCAGAGGCUGACGCUGACACUGCAGCAGCAGGUGACGAGGCUGCGGCCUCCGGCACAGACUCUCUGGAACACCUGAAACCCUUCCUCUUCGCGGGUGCCAUUAUUGCUGCAGGAGCCAUCUUGCUGGGAGCAUUGCUACUGGCGAGGAGAAAUUAGAGCGGGGUUGAGGAUUGGUUCACAGACUACCGUGGUACAGAUGGGGGAUGGGGAGCCACUGUGCAAAUUACUUUUUUUUCUUGGCCUGCUUUCAAUCAUAGUGAAUCAAACAAUUCAAGUUUUGAUCAAGGCUGUAUAUGGAGCAUAAUUACACAUAGCAUAUGCAUGAAAUUGCUUCAAAACCACAUCUGAACUGUAAUCUUCCAUUUCUUAGAAAUAAAAAUCACACUGUAAAAAACCCUAAAUCUUUACUAGUAGCUUAUGCAACUGCUUUAUCUUGUUUAAUCCUGUUUGGACAACAGCUGGGAAUAUGCAUUGUGAUGUAUUGCACAUAUUUAGGCAAAAACAUGUGCCUACCUCUUUCUUCAGAGGAUUGGGAGAGAGACACUGUGUCGCUGCAUAUCCAAAAUCCAAAAAGUGUUGAAUAGAUGAUGGUCCAGAGCAAUUUAAAGAAUCAACAUGUUCAGAGAGAAAAAUAAGCAAUCAGUGACUUAAGAAAGGGAAUACAUUGGCUUGUUAGAGAUGAAAUAAGUAUAGUAUGUGGCACAAAAGAAGAGUGGAGUUAGGUCUUGCUGUAGAAUGAGAACGUUUUAUUUUACUGUAAAAAUGUUGAAAUCAAUAACCUUUUAUGUUUUACACUAUAGCCAUCUUACAUAUUGACAUUUUACAGUAGGUACUUAGCUGUAGCAGCCAUUCAUGUUGAGGUAUCACGUGUGAAACCUGCUCCCAACAUGGGAGUUGUUUCUGUUUUCAGUGUAGUUCCCUUAUGUGGCUUUAGGGGGAGAAAAAAAUCUUGUUUAAAAACCCUCAUUAAUACCAAAGUACAACUAUCUUAGGGUGAGCACGUCCUACGUUGCAAAUAGAAUGACAGAUAAGUAUAGAUGAACCAAUGUUUAAUAGUUUUACUCAAAGGGGGGGAAAAAAUCAAGCAGUCACAAUUUUGCUUCUGCAUACUCACCUGUACAGCUGUACACAUUGUCUAUUCACAUGUAAAGCUCAUGGAGAUGUCCCUGUUGCAUAAGUAGAUAGAGAAAAGACAUUGCUAACAAACACCAUUACUUGAUUUUAGUUGUAAGGGAACGUACAAACAUAUUACCGACCACAUAUAUUAUACAAGCAUACCACAUUCAACACCCCAAACACAUCCAAAAGACAGUAUGCCAACACCUAAACAAAUUUCACCUCACAUUGUACUUUACAGUGUAUGAAAAAAAAGAGAAGAAAAACCCUAUUUUCAUGAAUUCAACAGCGUAUAAAUGCAAUAAUUCAGAUAGGACUCAUUAUUUAGCACCUGUUAUGUAGCAAGGUUAAUGACAUGAAUGAUGAUGUAAUAAUAUUGUUGGUGAUUAUGAUGUAUGAUACUUAUGACGGCAAUGACGGUGAUGUUACAGAUGAUGAUGAUGGUCAUGAUGCUGUUUUUCUUUGUGACUGUAAUGAUUAUUAUGAUGGUUAUGAUAUAUUUUUGAUAUAUUUCUAACAUUUUCCUUAUGCACACUCCCCCCCCCCUGCCUCUAAACUCCUGUAUGUAAAAAAGAAAGAGGUUGUAAUCCAACCUUUAUUAAAGACAGUGAACCAGC